CAGCUCCAGCCAGGCCAUCGGACACCCCGGCUCCCAAACCCCGACUGCUGGGCAGACAGGGAGGCAUUUCAGGUGGCAGGUUGGCCCCCGGCCAGCCGGCCCCAGAUGCCAUGCGGCACACCUGAGCGGGGCUGCUGUCUCCCAGCCUUCUUUGUGAGUCUCAGCUCACACCUGUGGGGACUUUCCUACAAGGCGAAGGGACAAAGGGAAGCGGAUGGUCUGUAUCGAUUCUGCGACGCAGGAGGAUCUGGCCUGUUCUCCGCUUCCUGCUUGGCGAGGCUGCCCACCCCGGGGCAGUCACAGCAAGAGGCCCAUUUCCUGGGCCCAGCUGGCGCCCUCCACCCUCUGCUCACCCUGAUCUGACUCCAGUCUCGUCAUUUGUACUUUACGGACGAGAAAACUGAAGGCACUGUUGGAGUCACAGCACGAGCCAGCGGAGGGCACCGUGCCCACUCCCAGGCGGCAGAAUCCAAGCGCGCUGCUGGAAUGGGCUCCUUCAGGAAGCGGCCACGGUGACACAGGAGCACGGAUAGGUCUGACUGGGAGUCAUGCAGCACACCUAGCUGAUCUCAUAGCACAGAGCUGAGAUGAGCUGAGCCAAGGCCAAGACAAGCAAGGCAACCAGGGCUGAGCUAGCUGAAUUAAGGCCAAACUGAGCAGAGCUAGCUAACUAGCUGGCCAGGUGCUCCCUUCUUCUUAAAGGGGAUAUAGACAAUAGUGACUCGUUGACAAAGACAAACUGUCACACACACAUGCACAUUACAUGCAAUGGUGUAAAACAGCAAAAUCACAAUUACAUUAGAAGCAUGCAAGUGCAAAACAACUAAUAAUAUAAGUUGCUUAUCCUUAAAACAUAAUAAGAUCGGAAGUGAGGGAGCCAGACUAAAUCAUCCUGACUCCAUUUUCUCCACAAGUGGCCACUAGAUUCUUCCCUGCCACACAUGCCAGUUUCACUGAAGAAUCUCCUUGAUGAAACAGCAAAAAAUUAUUCAUUUUAUUACAUCUCUAUUCAUGUGUGUGUGUAUGUGUGUGAGUGUAUUCUGUGUGAUGCUACACAAACCCUUCUGCUGAACACUGAAAUGAGGUGUCUGGAGGAAGAAUAUUUAUGUGAGUUACAAGCUAAACUAGCCACUUUUUCCAUGAGACACCAUUUUUACUUGACAACUGACAAACUAUAGCUCUUCAAACUUAGGUAUUCGGCAGAUAUCAACUAAAAGAUGAACAAAGUGUGUCUGUUAGUUCAAGAAAAAUGACUGACAGCAUUUACUGUCUUUGAUAAUAUCUGAUAUUUCAAGUGAAAUUUAGAAUUUUGGAAAACUUGUAACCAUCAUCAUGUGCUUGACCAAGAACUUACCAAGACUUUUCUAGUGAGAUUGAUGGUUAUAUUAAUGAAAAUGGUUUCUGAAUGUUGUAAACUUAAAUGUGUCAGCAUUUGGAAGAUCUGCAUAACUCAUUAUUUUCCAAAUGACAAUGUAAAAUCAUGACUGGAUAAAAGAUCCACUCAAAGAACAAGAUAGACCAACAGAUUUUAAGAGUAUGCAAUUCCUCUAAAGACUAAAUUCUUCUGUGGAAAUGGAAAUAGUAACAUGACUUGCAAAAAGAUACUAGCAAAAUGGCACGGAGGAGACAUGUGAUGGUUUUCUCAUUAGGAUUGCAGCACUGUUAGAUUAACUCUUACACCUUAGCUCUGCCCAUCUAACUUUAGUGUACAUGCAUGUAAGCAUGCACUCACUCAUGCAUAUGCACACACUCACACUACCAUAUCAUUCUUCAAAUCUGAUCUCAGUUCUUGGUACUUGGGCUUUGUUUAACUGCUGGAGCUCAGGGCAGAGCAUAAUUCUAUUAGCACGUUGUUCAUCUUCUAACUAUCUCCACUUACAACUGUAAAAACAACUGAACUUCAACCCAACAGUGCUACCACUUCAAGUAUCGGCCAUAUGUCCUAAUAAUUACAUGGGUAUACAUGUGCAUGUGUAGGUACCUGCUACUAAAAGGAAGUUGGAGGUCUAUGCCUGACUACAGAGGCAAGAGCUAGCAUUUAAAAUCUACUCUAGCAGUUUUGAAAUAUACUAUGUAGGGAGCCAGCAGGUGACAUGCUGGACUCCCACAUGGCUGAGUGCAGUUUGA